GCCUCUCGGAGCAACAUGGCUGGUGGUGAGGCCGGAGUGACUCUUGGGCAGCCGCACCAGUCCCGACAGGAUCUCGCUACUUUGGAUGUUACCAAACUGACACCACUUUCCCAUGAAGUUAUCAACAGACAAGCCACAAUUAACAUAGGUACAAUUGGCCAUGUAGCUCACGGGAAGUCCACUGUGGUAAAAGCCAUUUCUGGUGUUCACACUGUCAGAUUCAAAAAUGAGCUAGAAAGAAACAUCACCAUCAAGCUUGGAUAUGCUAAUGCUAAGAUUUAUAAACUUGAUGACCCGAGUUGUCCUCAACCAGAAUGUUACAGGUCAUGUGGAAGUGGUACACCCGAUGAAUUUCCUACUGACAUUCCAGGAACCAAAGGGAACUUCAAAUUAGUCAGGCAUGUGUCCUUUGUUGACUGUCCUGGCCAUGAUAUUUUGAUGGCUACAAUGCUGAAUGGUGCAGCAGUGAUGGAUGCAGCUCUGCUACUGAUAGCCGGUAAUGAAUCAUGCCCUCAGCCUCAGACUUCGGAACACCUGGCUGCAAUAGAAAUAAUGAAACUCAAGCAUAUUUUGAUCCUACAGAAUAAAAUUGAUCUGGUAAAAGAAAGUCAGGCUAAGGAGCAAUACGAACAGAUUCUUGCAUUUGUACAUGGAACAGUAGCAGAAGGGGCUCCGAUUAUUCCAAUUUCUGCUCAGCUGAAGUACAAUAUUGAAGUCAUCUGUGAGUACAUAGUGAAAAAAAUACCAGUGCCCCCAAGAGACUUUACUUCGGAACCUCGACUAAUUGUUAUUAGGUCAUUUGAUGUCAAUAAACCUGGCUGUGAAGUUGAUGACCUUAAGGGAGGUGUGGCUGGGGGAAGUAUUCUAAAAGGAGUAUUAAAGGUCGGCCAGGAGAUAGAAGUGAGACCUGGUAUUGUUUCCAAGGAUAGUGAAGGAAAACUCAUGUGUAAACCAAUCUUUUCCAAAAUUGUGUCACUUUUUGCAGAACAUAAUGAUCUUCAGUAUGCUGCCCCAGGUGGUCUAAUUGGAGUUGGAACAAAAAUCGACCCCACUUUGUGCCGAGCUGACAGAAUGGUGGGUCAAGUACUUGGUGCAGUUGGAGCUUUGCCUGAGAUAUUCACAGAAUUGGAAAUUUCCUAUUUCCUACUUAGACGGCUUCUAGGGGUACGCACUGAAGGAGACAAGAAAGCAGCAAAGGUCCAAAAGCUGUCUAAGAAUGAAGUGCUCAUGGUCAAUAUAGGAUCCCUGUCAACAGGAGGAAGAGUUAGUGCUGUCAAGGCUGAUCUGGGCAAGAUCGUUUUGACUAAUCCUGUGUGCACAGAAGUAGGAGAAAAAAUCGCCCUUAGCCGAAGAGUUGAAAAACACUGGCGUUUAAUUGGUUGGGGUCAGAUAAGAAGAGGAGUGACCAUCAAGCCAACUGUAGAUGAUGACUGAAGAAUCCAAGUUCUUUAGUGGUGCAU